AGGGCUGUGGCUCAGUGGAUGAGCAUUUGCUUGGCAUGCAGAAGGUCACAUGUUCAAUCCCCAGCAUCCCCA
rnacentral:tRNA from 1 species